rnacentral:rRNA from 1 species
AGAAUCAACGCUGGCGGCGUGCCUCAGACAUGCAAGUCGAACGCGAAAGUCCCCUUCGGGGGACAAGUAGAGUGGCGCACGGGUGAGUAACACGUAGGUAAUCUACCUUCGGAUGGGGAAUAACAACCGGAAACGGUUGCUAAUACCGCAUAAUGCAGCGGCACCUAAUGGUGACAGUUGUUAAAGCGGGGGAUCGAAAGACCUCGCGUCUGAAGAGGAGCCUGCGGCGGAUUAGCUAGUUGGUAGGGUAGCGGCCUACAAGGCGACGAUCCGUA